AACGAACGCUGGCGGCAUGCCUAACACAUGCAAGUCGAACGAGACCUUCGGGUCUAGUGGCGCACGGGUGCGUAACGCGUGGGAACCUGCCCUUAGGUUCGGAAUAACUCCCCGAAAGGGGUGCUAAUACCGGUUAAUGUCUUCGGACCAAAGAUUUAUCGCCUUUGGAUGGGCCCGCGUUGGAUUAGCUAGUUGGUAGGGUAAAAGCCUACCAAGGCGACGAUCCAUAGCUGGUCUGAGGGGAUGAUCAGCCACACUGGGACUGAGACACGGCCCAGACUCCUACGGGAGGCAGCAGUGGGGAAUAUUGGACAAUGGGCGAAAGCCUGAUCCAGCAAUGCCGCGUGAGUGAUGAAGGCCUUAGGGUUGUAAAGCUCUUUUACCCGGGAUGAUAAUGACAGUACCGGGAGAAUAAGCUCCGGCUAACUCCGUG
rnacentral:rRNA from 1 species